rnacentral:tRNA from 1 species
GGCCCCAUCGUCUAGCGGUCUAGGACGUUGCCUUCUCAGGGCAAAGAUCGGGGGUUCGAAUCCCCCUGGGGUCA